AUGUUGGACUACGCCUCCGAAGACAUCGACGACAUGAACGACGAUGCCGGAGAUAAACAAGGCCAAGACCCUCCAUUUACCGGACGUUGGAGGGCCACCUCCACAUACGACGUGUACAUGGUAGACACACCCAAAGAGGAUGAUGACGACGGCAAGAAGGAUCCGACUGAGGACAAGCCUGUUGAAGCACCUCCAAAGCGUCGAAGUCAGCGGUGCCGCUCAAAAUCGCGUGGCGAAAAAGACAUCAAUACCGGCACUGAAGAUAACAACACUUCGGAGAAUGCCGAAGACCCCGAACCCCCUGUCGAGCCAACACCGGAACAAGAUGAUUCGGAGGAUGGGCAAGUUAAUCCCGACGAUCCUGUCGGGAACGAGGACUCGGAGGAUAGUAACUACCUACCGAUCUCUGAAGAGGAUGUGAGCCUCGGUGACGAAGACUUCAUCGUGCCUGAGGAAGCCCUCGAACAAGAGCGCUUUAAGCGCCGGCUAAUAUCCACUGUGAGAAGCCUAACAAAGAAGCAGCAACAACUCCAAGCCGAUCAGGAUACGCUCAAUGACAGAUGGACUAAAGUCGUGGCAGCCGACGAAUAUGGCCUCGAGCGCCCAACCAAGAGCUACCCGAAGCACAAGCUGCUACCACAAUUCGAUGACGAGGCCCUUGAGCCAAUACCGCCAAAGUAUAAACCCGCUGAUGAACAUGACCGACCACCGCGUGGACGUGAUAGACCGACCACUUACGCCGAACACCAGCCUGUGCCACCCCGCCGUCGAGGCAGGGAGGCAGCGGCCCCGGGCUAUACCUAUGACCUACGAAACGACCUUGACAAUAGAGCCGGUCACACAAGAUCAAUCUAUGGGUCAAGGGGGCGUGCUCCAAUGCGAGAGGACGGCCAUCGGUCCUGGCGCGACAGGCACGACCACACCCAGGCCAAAAACCGCAUUCGGACUUCAUCCGAACUACGCCGCGACAUCACCCAAUAUAGAGGCGCCGCACACCCCUUAUGCUUCACCGAUGAGGUGAUGGAGCACCAGUUCCCUGAAGGGUUUAAACCCAUGAACAUUGAAUCAUACAAUGGUACUAUAGAUCCCGCAGUAUGUAUCGAAGAUUUUCUUCUCCAUAUUCACAUGGCCCGCAGUGAUGAUCUCCAUGCCAUCAAAUACCUCCCGCUAAAAUUAAAGGGACCAUCACGGCAUUGGUUAAACAGCCUCUCAGAAAACUCUAUUGGCAGC
rnacentral:rRNA from 1 species